ensembl:snRNA U6 U6 spliceosomal RNA
GUGCUCACUUCGGCAGCACAUAUACUAAAAUUGGAAAGAUACAGAGAAGAUUUUCAUGGCCCCUGUGUAAGGGUGGCACGCAAAUUCAUGACGCGUUCCAUAUUUUU